rnacentral:rRNA from 1 species
CCAAUAGCGUAUAUUAAAGUUGUUGCAGUUAAAAAGCUCGUAGUUGAAUUUCGGGGUCAGUAGAUUGGUCAUGCCUCCGGUAUGUACUGGUCUUACUGGCUCCUCCUUCCUGAUGAACCGUAAUGCCAUUAAUUUGGUGUUGCGGGGAGACUGGACUGUUACUUUGAAAAAAUUAGAGUGUUUAAAGCAGGCUAACGCUUGAAUACAUUAGCAUGGAAUAAUGAAAUAGGACGUUCGAUCUUAUUUUGUUGGUUUCUAAGAUUGACGUAAUGAUUAAUAGGGAUAGUUGGGGGCCUUAGUAUUCAAUUGUCAGGGGUGAAAUUCUUGUAUUUAUUGAAGACUAACUACUGCGAAAGCAUUUGCCAAGGAUGUUUUCAUUAAUCAAGAACGAAAGUUAGGGGAUCGAAGACGAUCAGAUACCGUCGUAGUCUUAACCAUAAACUAUGCCGACUAGGGAUCGGAUGAUGUUAAUUUUUUAAUGACUCAUUCGGCGCCUUACG